rnacentral:lncRNA from 1 species
GCAUAAGUAGUCAAGUUUAUAGAAAAAGAACAAUCUUUUACUUCUUGAAAAAUAAGAAGUAUUGUUUUUCGAUGGAGUAAGGUAUGUGUACCUGCCUCGUCCAUCAAGCUAACUCUGAUUCAUAGUCACACAAAAAAAAUCUAACUCUGAUUCAUAUGACAAACCAGAUACAGGGGCACUAGAAUAAAAAAAAAAGAUACAGGGGCACUAUAGAAUACUACAUCCUCAUCAGCAGCC